rnacentral:lncRNA from 1 species
AGAAUCUAAGAUCUAAGGUAUCAAUUUCAUAAAUCAUGAGUUAAUGGGUUAGCUCGAGUCAAGCUAUUUAAUUGGGUUAGACCUAGGGUUAGAAAUCAUUGAUAAUGGACCUUGUUAGUAAUUGAUCAAAUCUAAUUAAAAGUUAAUUUUGAUUGGAUCAAUUUUUUCUCUUGAUUAAAUUUUAAUAGUUAUAGUUGGUCAGGUCUAUGUCUUUGAUUAGACUAAGAUGGAUAUUGAUUAUAACUCCAUGGUCGAACCUAAAUCUAUAAGUUGAUCAAAUUGAAACUAGUUAACCAGUAGGGUGUCUAAGGUAAGUUUGGCAGUC